rnacentral:rRNA from 1 species
UAAUACGUAGGGUGCAAGCGUUGCCCGGAUUUAUUGGGCGUAAAGGGCGCGCAGGCGGCUACGCACGUCCGUUGUGAAAUCGCUCGGCUCAACUGGGCGGGGUCAGCGGAUACGGCGUAGCUGGAGCAAGCUAGGGGGCAAUGGAAUUCCCGGUGUAGUGGUGGAAUGCGUAGAUAUCGGGAGGAACACCAGUG